rnacentral:rRNA from 1 species
AUGGUAAGCAACUUGGUUCUAAUGUCGUCGAGCGGAUCUGGUCGCGGCGAUAACUCCAAUAGUAGCGGUGAUGAGUGGGUACCAAGAAGUCAACGACCACGGCAACAGAAAAGGCGAGCAAAGAAGGAAACACCUAUAGAGGUUGGUCUGCUUGAAUCCUUCAACCCCUCCCCACCCCUUUUCAUCGUCUCUAAUGCAGACAUGACACCAAAAGUUCUAGGGAAUUUUGCUCCUCGAUCGUGCCACGUCACCUUCCAUCCCCAGUGUCGUGCCACGAGUGGUGGCGGCGGGCGUUAUGUCGUGUCCCGAGCAGCCUCCCUGAGGGGUUCCCAUAGCUCCGCAACCUUGCUCAAGGUUACUCCAAUUCCAAUUGUUACUCCACCUGCAGUUCCUGCUUCAUCUCCUCAAGAGCAUGUAAACACAAAGGAAAGAGAAGGUACCAAAGAAGAUUGUACAACUAUGGCGAUCAAUGAUCGCAAAGUUACUCCGGUUCCAAGUGUUACUCCAUAUGUAGCUGUUACUCCAUCUCCUCAACAGCAUGCUAACACAAAGGAAAGAAAAAGUACUAAAGGAGAUGGUACAGCUAUGGUGACUAAUGACUGCAAUGUUACUCUAGUUCCAACUAUUACUUCAUAUGUAUUCGUUACUCCAUAUCCUCAAGAUCAUGCCAACAGAAAGGAAAGAGAAAGUAUUAAAGAAGAUGCUACAACUUUUGUGAUUAACGAUCGCAAUGUUACUCCAACUCCAACUAUUACUCCAUAUCUAGCUGUUACUCCAUCUCCUCUAGAGCAUGCCAACACAAAGGAAAGAGAAAGUAAUAAAGAAGAUGCUACAACUGUGGUGAUCAAUGACCUCAAUUUUACCAUCCAACAUGGUAUCCCAUCGGUCUACGGACCAGUCAGAAAUCCCACAAAUUGGACACAAACCAGGGGCUUUGCGUAUGUUCGGACCACUGCCACCUACACGCUCGCCACCCGAGACCCACUCAAAUCCUAUCUCACGCCCCCUCCCACAUGA